GACCGACAGGAAAUUGUCACGAGCAUAGAGGCGGAACAGGAAGCAUCCACAGACACAGAAUUGGCGGAGGCUUUAUCUGCAUACGAAGGCGUGAACCUUCCUCACGAGUCGACAAACAAAGUUAGAGUUAAGCGUCGUGACACAGGACGAGGGGUUCAAAGAGGAAGGUCGAGGAGGGCAACCUUCUACAACACGGGCCACUCAACCACCAGGGGGCCUGAGCCGGCACGCGAGAGACAUCACCACAAGAAUAGAAGGCGUCCUGUAAAGUGCAGUGGUAAUUGUAUCUACAAAAGUCGGUUACAAGAAU